CACUUCAUACUUGCUAUAUAUCUCAAAAUGUCGAUGAGUUCCAGAAAUGCUUCAAGUAUUUGUGAGUUUUUUGUCAGAAUUGUUAACGAAGUUCUUCUAGAUCUGUAUUUAAAUUGCCAAUGAAAAGUCACUAGAACUUACAAGGUUAUAUAUGAGCAUAUUCGUAUAGCUGUAGAGGUGUUAUUAUCCUAUUAAUGUGUUCCCAGCCACGGGUUGUGUCUGAGUUUCACCAAAACUCCAUUAUGUUCAUUACACAACACUUGAAAAUAAUUCUUGAGCGACACUCUUAUGAGAGUAGUCCAUCAGUUUUGUUACAAGAGCACUAAAGUUUCGAAAUAGCAUGGAUUUAGGCUAUCCAUAUCCUAUGGUUCAUGAAAAAAUAUUUCCUGUUUGGGCUCAAUGCUAUUUGGGCUCUGCUACGUGAGAAAGCAAACACGCCUUGGUACAGCUUAUUCCGGGGUAAUGGGCCUGGCAUAGGUGCAGGUGCUGUCUCCAAUUCAAUGCAAAAGCCUGUACUACUUUUCAUGACUGGACAUUUGGUUUUAUUGGGCUUUCGUGUCCCCAAAUAGGUUUUAGGCCAGGAUAUUUCCUUUGUUUUGAACAGGGAAAGGAUUUUGUUUACAUUAGUUGCAUUCUGAGAGUCACAGCUAUCUAUGUUGUCUUCAGCAUAGUUCUCUUGGUUGCUGAUUCCAAAUAGGCCCCUAAAGGAAUUAGGAUGUGUGCUGUUAAUGUUCUGAGUUACCGUGCACUUGAACUCUCCAUCUACUCCUUUGUCAUCUUUUUUGUGGAGACAGCUAUGCGUGUAUACUUAAUAUGACCUUGUAGCCGUAGCAAUUGUUUUUGACCUUGAAAAAUAGGCACAUAGUGAGACUCAGUGCACAUCCGUAAUAAUUUCAGCAUGUGCAACGAAUAAUUUUGUGGUAGAAAGUUGAUCUAGCAUCUGGAACCUGAUUGUCUCAUCAUGGCACGUUCUCCUGUAGACAUGGUUAGAUUAUUCAGUAGUUAUACGAAGUUUCGUGUGAUUGAAUAUAUUAGAUUAUUAUAUUCAAUUGUUGGUAAUUUUGUGAGACCUGGCACAUCCGUAAUAAUUUCAGCAUGAGCAACAAAUAAUUUUGUGGUAGAAAGUUGAUCUAGCAUCUGGAACCUGAUUGCCUCAUCACGACACGUUCUCCUGUAGAAAUGGUUAGAUUAUUCAGUAGUUAUAUGAAGUUCAUGUGAUUGAAUAUAUUGGAUUAUUAUACUUCAAUUGUUGGUAAUUUUGCUGUUAUCAAGUCACAAAGUGGCAGAGUGCUCUGCGUUAUAAGACUUAUGUUUUAAUACAUGCCACGAGAUGCCAGACAUAACAAUAUAUAUCUCUUAUUGCUUGUGACAUGCAAAGAUUUUGGUUAUUAGUAAUGCCUGAAGACGGUGCAGCACACAUAACAGUUCCAUUUUCCAUGAGGACUUACGCCUGUUCAAUUUAUGGAGUCACAUGUACGAUAAAAAUUGUUAUAAAAACAAUAGUGCCCUCAAUUUCAGGGUGGCACUUAUUUGCAAUAGGUUUACAAGUUCACUUCUCAAUGACUCAUUGAAUAAAUACUUUGCUCUGUCUUGCUCUCAUUAUCAACUCUUUACAUCAAACAAUAUCCUCUUCAGCUUAGAGGAUUAUCUCUAUGGCUCAUGGAUUUAACUGUAAUCUGCAGUGUUUGACUAGUUAAGAAUAGUGAACAAAUAGGAAGUGUGUCGAUUAUAUAGUAUAUAAUAAAGGUUACCCUAGCUUUGGAGCAGCUGAUUGCUUAGUGUCAUCCUGUUGAGGCAGUGUGCUGAGUCCAAGUUGCACAGGAACAUUCCUGUUUUCAACAACUGCAAAGUUGUAUGGUGUAGGUGAAUCCCGAUUUACUUCACUUGGUCCUUCAGCCUCAUAUAUCUGAUAACAAAAUCAAUUGCAACUCAAGUCAGUUAUGUUGAUAGGCGGGGUGCUCAGUAAUAUUCUUGUUUAACUUUGUCUGCUACCUUCUUAUAUAACUCAGCAUUUUCUUGGCCAAUCAUACUGAUCUUCUUGUACAAUUCCAUGUUUUCUUGGUGAACUAGACUUCCCUGUAAACAAAAAAGUGAUACAGUCAGUCUAUUAUAAGAAAAACAAGUAUGUCAUUAGAAACUGCAGAACUUAUAUUUGACAGAACCUUCCGAUUCAGUUCAUGAAUUUCAUCAAAUAAGAUCUGGUCCUGGAAAUAACAGUAGUAACAAUUUUCAGUCGAAUCUUCAUGUAGGAAUGGGUUGAGUGUGGUAAGAAAUUUGGUUAUGGUUUGACCUUCUUUGUGCGGACACCACGUAGGCUUACUUCCAGCUGAUUCUCUAUGGACUGCAGUUCCUUAACAUUCAGUCCAGAUAGAUCUUCUCCCAUCAACUGCCUGUAGGAUUCAGAACAUACCGAUGAUUUUCUUGCAAGUUGUGCAGUUGUUGUCUCAAGCUUGCUGCCUCCCUUUGCCAAAACUAAGAAGUGCAAUAGCAGAAUUAUGCAAUGUAAAUACAUGAAAGUAACAAAUUUCUUGACAACAGAUAUGAUGGCUAUUUACCAUGGAACAUAUUAUGAUGCAUCAUGAUAUUAAACAAAGUAGCUGGAUAAGACGUUUUAUUGUCAUACAUGUAGGCACUAGUGUUCAUUUUUGCAAUAUGGACGCUACCUAGCUACAUACGUCUUAAAUUCUGUAGUGAGCAAAAUGUAUUUAGGUUGGCGGAUGGUUAUGCACAUUUUGGUAGUGCCACAACCACUAUUUAAUGGCAGAUCAGCUCAAAGACAAAUAAAGUCAUAACAGAGUAAGUGAUCACUCAUAGCCGACCUGUUUGUUACUACAUUUGGAUAAUGUUAUUGUUUGAUUUUGCCUUUUCUCUUCUCACUUACGAGGACAGGACUUUGGGGAGCAGUCAAAGGUGCAAACUAGGAGUGGUUGCGGAUCAACACUCUGAUUGGUUCAUACAGAGAAUCCACCUUCGUUCAGAUUGGCAACGGUGAAUGUACAGCCUCGUGGAAAGAUAAAUGGCCAAGCAACAAGCCAUUGCACAUUCAGUUCCCUGCUUUGUUCUCACAUACUAAUCGACCGAACAUCUUGGUCGCUGAUUGCUUUCAGAACGGAGAAUGGGUGAUACAUUUGAUGCAUAUUACGCUGGAUCGUGCUGAACAAGAAAAGUGGAAUUGCUGGCCUUCCUGAAUACAUGCUCCCUUUGACUCGCCAACUCCAGAUAGGAGAGGAUGGAGACUGAAUAUUACAGAGUCCUCAGUCAAAAACAUGUAGUAUGAGUUAUGCAACUGGGGGUGGAUUGCACACUUCAGUGCGAACACAAUCUGUAGCUGUGCUGCCCCAUGUAAUGGGAAAUUAUUCGCCUGGCUCAUGAUAAAAAGAAGGAUCAAAGGUUAGGACAGUUUUGUUCAAACAACACUGGAUGAUGAACUCUGCCCCUUUGGGUGCAAAGAAAAGAAACAGUUGAACACUUUGCAUUGUACUGUCGUUGACCAAACAAAAUCAUGGCGAUGUUCGGUAUUCA